ensembl:snoRNA small nucleolar RNA SNORA36 family
UGUCAAUGAGUUCAGUUCAGGACAGAUUCCCUGUUCUGUUAAUUAAACGUUGGGACUUUGAAACAUGGGCUUGGGAGACAAUUGGCUAGAAACCAUUGCUGUAUUCAUUUAUCUCCCAGCCUAUAAAA